rnacentral:rRNA from 1 species
UUCGGAAAAAGGGACAGCUACUAGAUGGUUCGAUUGGUCUUUCGCCCCUAUGCCCAAUUCUGACAAUCGAUUUGCACGUCAGAAUUGCUUCGGUCCUCCAUCAGGGUUUCCCCUGACUUCAACCUGAUCAGGCAUAGUUCACCAUCUUUCGGGUCGCAUCCUACGCACUCGGGGGAUGCCCGCUGGGUGGCGCACGUGUGACCGCACGCCAGCCCGUACCGGGGCACCCUGGGAUGGAGGGAGGCGUCCGUGGCUUGCGCCAAGCGCGCCCCCGUAAUCCCGCGACGAAACCGUCUCGAGUUGUCUGCGCCUGUGGGGUUCUCGGUUGCUGGGUCGGACCCACGGAUGGGUCCGCCCACGCCGCCCAUUGGCUCGCGCGUAAGAUAGACUUC